CUGGUUGGGCUUAGAUGGGUCC
rnacentral:miRNA from 1 species